rnacentral:rRNA from 1 species
GGGUUGUGAGGUUAAGCGACUAAGCGUACACGGUGGAUGCCCUGGCAGUCAGAGGCGAUGAAGGACGUGCUAAUCUGCGAUAAGCGUCGGUAAGGUGAUAUGAACCGUUAUAACCGGCGAUUUCCGAAUGGGGAAACCCAGUGUGUUUCGACACACUAUCAUUAACUGAAUCCAUAGGUUAAUGAGGCGAACCGGGGGAACUGAAACAUCUAAGUACCCCGAGGAAAAGAAAUCAACCGAGAUUCCCCCAGUAGCGGCGAGCGAACGGGGAGCAGCCCAGAGCCUGAAUCAGUGUGUGUGUUAGUGGAAGCGUCUGGAAAGGCGCGCGAUACAGGGUGACAGCCCCGUACACAAAAAUGCACAUGCUGUGAGCUCGAUGAGUAGGGCGGGACACGUGGUAUCCUGUCUGAAUAUGGGGGGACCAUCCUCCAAGGCUAAAUACUCCUGACUGACCGAUAGUGAACCAGUACCGUGAGGGAAAGGCGAAAAGAACCCCGGCGAGGGGAGUGAAAAAGAACCUGAAACCGUGUACGUACAAGCAGUGGGAGCACGCUUAGGCGUGUGACUGCGUACCUUUUGUAUAAUGGGUCAGCGACUUAUAUUCUGUAGCAAGGUUAACCGAAUAGGGGAGCCGAAGGGAAACCGAGUCUUAACUGGGCGUUAAGUUGCAGGGUAUAGACCCGAAACCCGGUGAUUCAGCCAUGGGCAGGUUGAAGGUUGGGUAACACUAACUGGAGGACCGAACCGACUAAUGUUGAAAAAUUAGCGGAUGACUUGUGGCUGGGGGUGAAAGGCCAAUCAAACCGGAGAUAGCUGGUUCUCCCCGAAAGCUAUUUAGGUAGCGCCUCGUGAAUUCAUCUCCGGGGGUAGAGCACUGUUUCGGCAAGGGGGUCAUCCCGACUUACCAACCCGAUGCAAACUGCGAAUACCGGAGAAUGUUAUCACGGGAGACACACGGCGGGUGCUAACGUCCGUCGUGAAGAGGGAAACAACCCAGACCGCCAGCUAAGGUCCCAAAGUCAUGGUUAAGUGGGAAACGAUGUGGGAAGGCCCAGACAGCCAGGAUGUUGGCUUAGAAGCAGCCAUCAUUUAAAGAAAGCGUAAUAGCUCACUGGUCGAGUCGGCCUGCGCGGAAGAUGUAACGGGGCUAAACCAUGCACCGAAGCUGCGGCAGCGACGCUUAUGCGUUGUUGGGUAGGGGAGCGUUCUGUAAGCCUGUGAAGGUGUGCUGUGAGGCAUGCUGGAGGUAUCAGAAGUGCGAAUGCUGACAUAAGUAACGAUAAAGCGGGUGAAAAGCCCGCUCGCCGGAAGACCAAGGGUUCCUGUCCAACGUUAAUCGGGGCAGGGUGAGUCGACCCCUAAGGCGAGGCCGAAAGGCGUAGUCGAUGGGAAACAGGUUAAUAUUCCUGUACUUGGUGUUACUGCGAAGGGGGGACGGAGAAGGCUAUGUUGGCCGGGCGACGGUUGUCCCGGUUUAAGCGUGUAGGCUGGUUUUCCAGGCAAAUCCGGAAAAUCAAGGCUGAGGCGUGAUGACGAGGCACUACGGUGCUGAAGCAACAAAUGCCCUGCUUCCAGGAAAAGCCUCUAAGCAUCAGGUAACAUCAAAUCGUACCCCAAACCGACACAGGUGGUCAGGUAGAGAAUACCAAGGCGCUUGAGAGAACUCGGGUGAAGGAACUAGGCAAAAUGGUGCCGUAACUUCGGGAGAAGGCACGCUGAUAUGUAGGUGAAGUCCCUCGCGGAUGGAGCUGAAAUCAGUCGAAGAUACCAGCUGGCUGCAACUGUUUAUUAAAAACACAGCACUGUGCAAACACGAAAGUGGACGUAUACGGUGUGACGCCUGCCCGGUGCCGGAAGGUUAAUUGAUGGGGUCAGCGCAAGCGAAGCUCUUGAUCGAAGCCCCCGGUAAAACGGCGGCCGUAACUAUAACGGUCCUAAGGUAGCGAAAUUCCUUGUCGGGUAAGUUCCGACCUGCACGAAUGGCGUAAUGAUGGCCAGGCUGUCUCCACCCGAGACUCAGUGAAAUUGAACUCGCUGUGAAGAUGCAGUGUACCCGCGGCAAGACGGAAAGACCCCGUGAACCUUUACUAUAGCUUGACACUGAACAUUGAGCCUUGAUGUGUAGGAUAGGUGGGAGGCUUUGAAGUGUGGACGCCAGUCUGCAUGGAGCCGACCUUGAAAUACCACCCUUUAAUGUUUGAUGUUCUAACGUUGGCCCCUAAUCGGGGUUGCGGACAGUGUCUGGUGGGUAGUUUGACUGGGGCGGUCUCCUCCUAAAGAGUAACGGAGGAGCACGAAGGUUGGCUAAUCCUGGUCGGACAUCAGGAGGUUAGUGCAAUGGCAUAAGCCAGCUUGACUGCGAGCGUGACGGCGCGAGCAGGUGCGAAAGCAGGUCAUAGUGAUCCGGUGGUUCUGAAUGGAAGGGCCAUCGCUCAACGGAUAAAAGGUACUCCGGGGAUAACAGGCUGAUACCGCCCAAGAGUUCAUAUCGACGGCGGUGUUUGGCACCUCGAUGUCGGCUCAUCACAUCCUGGGGCUGAAGUAGGUCCCAAGGGUAUGGCUGUUCGCCAUUUAAAGUGGUACGCGAGCUGGGUUUAGAACGUCGUGAGACAGUUCGGUCCCUAUCUGCCGUGGGCGCUGGAGAACUGAGGGGGGCUGCUCCUAGUACGAGAGGACCGGAGUGGACGCAUCACUGGUGUUCGGGUUGUCAUGCCAAUGGCACUGCCCGGUAGCUAAAUGCGGAAGAGAUAAGUGCUGAAAGCAUCUAAGCACGAAACUUGCCCCGAGAUGAGUUCUCCCUGACCCUUUAAGGGUCCUGAAGGAACGUUGAAGACGACGACGUUGAUAGGCCGGGUGUGUAAGCGCAGCGAUGCGUUGAGCUAACCGGUACUAAUGAACCGUGAGGCUUAACCUUACAACGCCGAAG